CCCCUCUCAGGGUUGCACCUGGAGAGUUUCCAAUCUUCUACCAGUCUCGGUUCUGGGAGGGAGGAUCAAGCGGAUGCCCGUCCAUUCCAUUCCUAGCUUGGCCAAGGGCUAGCGAGUGGAAGGCCAUCUGCCACAAGU